rnacentral:rRNA from 1 species
UUGGAGGGCAAGUCUGGUGCCAGCAGCCGCGGUAAUUCCAGCUCCAAUAGCGUAUAUUAAAGUUGUUGCAGUUAAAAAGCUCGUAGUUGAACUUCAGGCCUGUCCAGACGGUCCGCCUUAAUUGGUGUGUACUGUCCUUGGGUGGGUCCUACCUUCUGGCGAAGCGGCAUGGCCUUAAUUGGUUGUGUCGGGGAACCAGGACUUUUACUGUGAAAAAAUUAGAGUGUUCAAAGCAGGCAAAUAUGCUCGAAUACAUUAGCAUGGAAUAAUGGAAUAGGACGAUGGUUCUAUUUUGUUGGUUCUAGGACCGUUGUAAUGAUUAAUAGGGAUAGUUGGGGGCAUUAGUAUUCAAUUGUCAGAGGUGAAAUUCUUGGAUUUAUUGAAGACUAACUACUGCGAAAGCAUUUGCCAAGGAUGUUUUCAUUAAUCAAGAACGAAAGUUAGGGGAUCGAAGACGAUCAGAUACCGUCGUAGUCUUAACCAUAAACUAUGCCGACUAGGGAUCGGAUGAUGUUAUUUUUAAUGACUCAUUCGGCGCCUUACGGGAAAC